rnacentral:misc_RNA from 1 species
GAUGAAGAACGCAGCGAAAUGCGAUACUUGGUGUGAAUUGCAGAAUCCCGCGAAUCAUCGAGUUUUUGAACGCAAGUUGCGCCCGAAGCCAUUCGGCCGAGGGCACGUCUGCCUGGGUGUCACGCAUCGUUGCCCCCCCCAAACUUCGGUUCGGGCGGGGCGGAAGUUGGCCUCCCGUGCGUGCCUGCGCGCGCGGUUAGCCCAAAAGCGAGUCCUCGGCGACGAGCGCCACGACAAUCGGUGGUUUUUUUACCCUCGUUCCUCGUCGUGCGUGCCCCGUCGCCCGAACGCGCUCUUGCGACCCUCACGCGUCGCCUCGGCGGCGCUCCCAACGCGACCCCAGGUCAGGCGGGACUACCCGCUGAGUUUAAGCAUAUCAAUAAGCGGAGGA